CAAUGCCUUAUGUCCUCAUUCAGCUGACCCUAUGAAUAGCUUAUACCUUUAGGUCUUUGUUCUUAAGCUUAAGGCAUUCACCAGCACUCUGACUGGGUUUUUCAAGCAGGAAGAUAAAAAGGGAUAAAGUAAAGCAGGAAGAUGGGAUUUUUUUCAGCAAAGAGGCUAAGAAAAUAUUGUAGAAACAUGUCUCGCAACACUAAUCAGUCAACCUCCUUCCCACCCUCUAUUUAGCCCACAGUCCUCUUUUGCUUUUUUAGAUGUCAGCUCUCUCCUUGAUAUCUUCUGACUGCAGACUGCAGACAGUAAAAUACCUCCAAGGGGUAUCCUGGAAGAGCCCUCACUAGAAUUGAGCCUUAGAGGCUACGUGUCAAAGUUGGAAGAAGCCUGGCCCCUGAAUCGGUGCUCGGCAGAGAGCCUACUUCAGGUCAGAGGAAGGAGAUUUGGAGACAAGUGAGGAACGUCUGUAUUCCUGUAUCGCAGGUGGAAUGAAGCUCAGCAGCCUUCUAGCUGUUACUGCCCUUUCACAUAGGAGCAAAGUAAAGCCUGGAAUGACUGAAUGACUUGACUAGCUUGACAUAGCAGAGACCCUGGGCCUACUGAUCUUUUUUCUAUGCAAGAGCAGAUACAUCCCCGCCAAGCCAAUCCUGGUGAGACCUGGACUGAGGAAGGGGAAAGUUGCUGAAAGCUUGCUGGUCAAAGACAUGGGCUUGCACAGCACCUGCCACAGGAAAGGCAGUGUUUCUCAAGCUUUCCUGCACAUAAGGAGGACCUUUAAAAAAUGUCGUGGCAGGAAGAGAAAAGAAUGAAGAUUCACAGUGGAGACCAUGAGGCAAUAAUUCCACUUUACUCCAUCUAAUUUCUUUGGCUGAAUCUCAUGCUGAACUCUAAAUCCUGGUGAUCUGUAUGGAGACCCAGUGACCCUCGAGGCGACAAACGUGUAAGAGUUCAAAACAACAGAACCUUUUAUCUGAGAAAAAUGGAAAUCAUUCCAAAUGCUUGAAGGGGCAUGUAGUGGUUUCCAAACUCCAGUGUGCCUGAGACGCUCACUGGAAACUUGCUCAACUUAUCUAUGUAAGUAAUUCUAAAUCAGCUGGUUUGGACUGAAGCCUGCAAAUCUGCAUUUUUAACAAGCACUCUGGAAAUAUCCUCUGAUUGAGAAAUGCUGAACUCGGAGCAAGACCUUAGAGCUUGAUUGCAUUAUAUGAUGGGGACAUUGCAAAAGGGAAUUCGUGAGAGGCAAGAACGCCACUUGUCUGAUUAAAGAACAGGAUUCAUAACAGAGAGAAGAGGCGUGAGAUGGGUAUCAUAUAUAACUUGGAGAAUGGUAUGGUGGUCACACACAUACAAUGCAAGCAUCCAUGGGCGAGCCGGAACUUGGAGACUGCAUGUUUCUACCGUCUACGUGAGCCGCUGGGAGCCCAGCAUGGGAUAAUUGACUGUCCUUGGAAAGUGACCAGCUCAGGUCCCCCUCAGUCCUCUGAAGAUAAGACAGGGGAAGCGAUGACAAGAGGGGAGAGGCUGAGAAAUUGCAUUCCCAGGACCAUCAGGGGGGAUCAGCAGCAUGGCCCGGGAAUGUUGUUUCUUGCAGGAAAGACAUGGCAUUAUCUCAGAACCAUCUGGUGGCAGCAGGAACGGGGAGGGGGAGGGAGGCGCUGAGCAGUGGUCACGUAGCCUUGUCUUACUGUUUGCAGACGCCCACGAUCAAGCUAUUUCCUGACAGAAGUGGGUCAGCUAAUAGCCUGGGCUCAGGAAAAAGGGAGCUUCAAGGAAUGAGAGAGAUGGUUGCAGAGGCUGGAGGAUUCCUGUAGCCGAAAAAGUUAGAGACCGAUGCGAAGCUUUUUGUCACAUGGACAAAAUCCCUAGACUUGGGGACAGGGGACGGCGCCCUUGAUCUUUCAGUGUAAGAUCGUUUUGGAUUCAGGCAAGCUAAUUUGCUCAGAGCCUCAGUGUACAAUGGCAUUUGUGGACUCCUGGGUUUAAUCUGGCCUGUAUGUGACUCUUAGCCCCCGUUAGUGAUUACAGAAUUGUUGGGUUUGGGGCCACCUCUACAACGUCAAGCUAUUUCACAUAGAAUGCAGGUUUCUGGCUCAUCUAACAAUGGAAAAUCUGGCCACUCUGGGCCCAUAUUCUCACAGAGCAACAUUUGCCUGGAGUUGAGUGGCCACUGCCCCCGGAAAUAAGGGAUUAACUCUCCACUCCCCAGUGUUCCCCACACGACCCCUUCCCUCAAAGCCCCCACAGGCAUUUGUUUCAUGACCCCUGCCCUAGAAGGCAGUAUCAAUGAUGGCAGGGAGUGUGAGCAUGUGUCCCCAGUGGACCUCUGUCCCCAGCACAUGUCUGCAAGGACUGGGCACUGCGCAGGCAUUGAAUAAAUAUUUCUUUAAUAACAGCCAGUGAGUGAAGACAGGGCUGUCAAAGCAAAGCAGGUUAAAUCCAGGCUGUGUGCGUUUGGGUAAAUAAUUGAACUUUCUAAGCCUCUGUUUUCCUUAUUUAUGAAUCAGGGAGCAGAGUACUGACCUCAUGGCACACUCUGAGUGAAGGAAUGCAAACCCCUUUGUGUGGCGCUGCCCAGAGAGAACACCCAAUAAAUAUUUGUUGAAUGGCUGAAACCAUGUUCAGUCUACAGGGUUGUGAGCCUUGGUAUCCUUGGUUGGAUACAGUGGAAAAAAUCAUCGCAUUAAUUAAGCAUGGGAAUCGCAAUGUGCCAGAAAGGGAACACAAAUGGGCACCCAAAGAGUGGUUGUCACGGGGGUGAGAUUGCUGGGCAGGGAAGGAUAACUUGUGCUUUUGUGUCAGCAUUGACCAUCAGAGCAACAGCAUGAAGUGCAGCACUAGGGCGGGAGUGGCUGGUUGAAUUCCGGGGAUAGAGCUGGGGGCUAUGAGGACAGGCUUCGGAGGGGUGUAAUGUGUGCCAGGCCCUUGGCCAGGCUACUAAAUGCUUUUGAGACCUCUGUUUCCUCCAUUAGAAAAUGAAGAUCAUAAUGCCCACUUUUGGGGGUUUGGUCUGAUUAGUUAAUAUGAAAAUCAACAUCAUGUGCUUAACAUGUUGGUGAGCAGACAGAGAUGCUUAGCAAAUAAUACAGGUAUUGGUAUGAGAGGGAAAGUACUGCUUAGAAGUUCACAGUCCUGAGUGCUGUUCUUUUUUUUUUUUUAAUUGAAGUAUAGUUAAUUUACAACAUUGAGUUAGUUUCCAGUGUACAGAAAAGUGAUUCAGU